CACAGAGCUAUGGCCCCAACCUAGUAGUCUCUUCCUUAUACACAGGUAGGUGUGGUCUUGCUCUGUUGCAUAGGACCAUAUAGAUCUCCAUCCCCAAAGUUACAGCUGAUGAGCGCUCGAGUGAGCCCUUGAGCGGGCAGGACAGCUGGUACGCAGGUCAGUUUACAGCCUACCAGGGAGCCUGGUGCAAAAGUUCUGUGUGAAAAGCCAACCGUGAUGAGAUCCACCGACCAGAUGUUUUGCCUCAAGAGUCCGAACCCGUCACAUGAGAGAAUUAGUCAGCGGAAUAGAUGCCAAAAGACACACAGAGAGCGAGAGGCAGAAAGUGAACCACCGUCAUUACUGGGAUCAAGUUAACCUCACGGAGAAAGACAGGCCUCCCUCCCUGUCUGUUUGUUCUGGUCAAUCCCCACCAGAGAAGGGAGUUUUCAUGUCCCUCACAUCCAUAUUUUAGCAUGAAACAAAAUUUCAAAUGCCAACACAUUCUGGUUCCAACUUGGAGCUUUGGACAUGUGUCUUGUGCCACUGCCUGCCUACCUUUGAAAAAAUAUUGCUUAUCACAUCACACGAGUGCUAGGCACAGGGCCUGGUACAUGCCUGGAGACCAGUGAAUAACGCAGAAGUGCCCUCUGCCUAUGUCCGGUUGAAUGCCUGUGGUGUUGGUGGAAACCUCUGAGUUCUAACGCCAAAACCACCUGCUUAGAAACUGGGUAAGCCAUUCAGUCUUCAAGGCCUCCAUUCCCCCCACCCCCACGCCACCCCCUGUAAAUGAGGGUGUGAUAGUUAUUCCUCUGUUUGAGCUGUUGUGAGGUUUAAAAUAGCAGAUGUGUCAAAGUCCCUACAUAAGAAGCCCCCUGAGAUCUGAAGUACAUUAAGUGGGAGGAAGCUGUGCUUUCUGUGAACGCUCCACGUUUUAUGUGAGAGUUUCACACGUUAGUCUCUUCCAACUAGAAAUCAAAUGCACUUCAGAAUACAAGGUUCUCUCUUUCUCUCUGACAGAAAGACCAGACAUUUAGGGGCUGGGGAAGUGACUCAGUGGGUGACAAGCACCUGUUGUAUAGUCAUGAGGACCUGAGUUCAGAUCCCCAAGGCCACUCACAUUUAAAAAAUAAAAUCAGUUGUGGCCACA
rnacentral:lncRNA from 1 species